rnacentral:rRNA from 1 species
CAGCCGCCGCGGGAAUACGAGGGGGGCAAGCGUUGUUCGGAAUUAUUGGGCGUAAAGGGCGCGUAGGCGGUUUGGCAAGUUUGGUGUGAAAUCUUCGGGCUCAACUCGAAGUCUGCACCGAAAACUGCCGGGCUUGAGUAUGGGAGAGGUGAGUGGAAUUUCCGGUGUAGCGGUGAAAUGCGUAGAUAUCGGAAGGAACACCUGUGGCGAAAGCGGCUCACUGGACCAUUACUGACGCUGAGGCGCGAAAGCUAGGGGAGCAAACAGGAUUAGAUACCCCUGUAGUCCCUGUCUCUUAUAC